AGGAUAGAACGCGUGGGCGGCGUGACCUAACACAUGACAAGUCGGAACGGGUGUGGUAAAAUCGAAGGGUAAAAGGGUUUACUUCUUUGACCAGAUAACACACUAGUGGCGGACGGGUGAGUAACGCGUGGAUAACCUGCCUUAUACAGGGGGAUAACAGGGAGAAAUUCUUGCUAAUACCCCAUAGGUAUGUCUGACGCAUGUUGGACAUAUUAAAGCUUUGGCGGUAUAAGAUGGGUCCGCGUCUGAUUAGCUAGUUGGUGGGGUAAAGGCCCACCAAGGCGACGAUCAGUAGCCGGCUUGAGAGAGUGGACGGCCACAUUGGGACUGAGACACGGCCCAAACUCCUACGGGAGGCAGCAGUGGGGAAUAUUGCACAAUGGGGGAAACCCUGAUGCAGCGACGCCGCGUGAAGGAAGAAGGUCUUCGGAUCGUAAACUUCUAUCAGCAGGGAAGAAGGAAGUGACAGUACCUGAGUAAGAAGCCCCGGCUAACUACGUG
rnacentral:rRNA from 1 species